rnacentral:rRNA from 1 species
AGAGUUUGAUCCUGGCUCAGAUUGAACGCUGGCGGCAUGCCUUACACAUGCAAGUCGGACGGCAGCNNNNNGCAACCCUGGCGGCGAGUGGCGAACGGGUGAGUAAUACAUCGGAACGUGUCCUGGAGUGGGGGAUAGCCCGGCGAAAGCCGGAUUAAUACCGCAUACGCUCUGUGGAGGAAAGCGGGGGAUCUUCGGACCUCGCGCUCAAGGGGCGGCCGAUGGCAGAUUAGCUAGUUGGUGGGGUAAAGGCCUACCAAGGCGACGAUCUGUAGCUGGUCUGAGAGGACGACCAGCCACACUGGGACUGAGACACGGCCCAGACUCCUACGGGAGGCAGCAGUGGGGAAUUUUGGACAAUGGGGGCAACCCUGAUCCAGCAAUGCCGCGUGUGUGAAGAAGGCCUUCGGGUUGUAAAGCACUUUUGUCCGGAAAGAAAACUUCGCUCCUAAUACGGGUGGAGGAUGACGGUACCGGAAGAAUAGGCACCGGCUAACUACGUGCCAGCAGCCGCGGUAAUACGUAGGGUGCGAGCGUUAAUCGGAAUUACUGGGCGUAAAGCGUGCGCAGGCGGUUCGCUAAGACCGAUGUGAAAUCCCCGGGCUUAACCUGGGAACUGCAUUGGUGACUGGCGGGCUAGAGUAUGGCAGAGGGGGGUAGAAUUCCACGUAGCAGUGAAAUGCGUAGAGAUGUGGAGGAAUACCGAUGGCGAAGGCAGCCCCCUGGGCCAAUACUGACGCUCAUGCACGAAAGCGUGGGGAGCAAACAGGAUUAGAUACCCUAGUAGUCC